rnacentral:rRNA from 1 species
UACGUAGGGGGCAAGCGUUGUCCGGAUUUACUGGGUAUAAAGGGAGCGCAGGCGACCUGUCAGUCAGGGGUGAAAUCCUACAGCUUAACUGUAGAACUGCCUUUGAUACUGCAGGUCUUGAGAUCGGAAGAGAGAGACGGAAUUCCAGGUGUAGUGGUGAAAUACGUAGAUAUCUGGAAGAACACCGAUGGCGAAGGCAGUCUCUUGGUCCGCAUCUGACGCUGAGGCUCGAAAGCGUGGGGAGCAAACAGGAUUAGAUACCCGCGUA